GGGGGUGUAGCUCAGUUGGCUAGAGCGCAUCGUUCGCAACGAUGAGGUCGUGGGUUCGAUUCCCAUCACCUCCA
rnacentral:tRNA from 3 species